AAAGCUUCAAGAAAAAGGCGUAAGGGGCUUUGGCAGCUCCUUCGCUACGCUUCCUUCCAUAAAUCCAGCUUUCACAUUCUUUGCUUCACAAUUCAUCUUCCAAUCCGAAGUCCAUUCACUUCGAUCUGGGUCUUCACCCAAUCGAUAUCAUCUUCCGAAGCCGAGAUCCGUUCCUGUGGUUGUUGUCUACUAGCGAAAAAUAA